ACUCCUGCGGGAGGCAGCAGUGGGGAAUAUUGCACAAUGGGCGCAAGCCUGAUGCAGCCAUGCCGCGUGUAUGAAGAAGGCCUUCGGGUUGUAAAGUACUUUCAGCGGGGAGGAAGGCAAUACGGUUAAUAACCGUGUUGAUUGACGUUACCCGCAGAAGAAGCACCGGCUAACUCCGUGCCAGCAGCCGCGAUAAUACGGAGGGUGCAAGCGUUAAUCGGAAUUACUGGGCGUAAAGCGCACGCAGGCGGUCUGGCAAGUCGGAUGUGAAAUCCCCGGGCUCAACCUGGGAACUGCAUUCGAAACUGGCAGGCUUGAGUCUUGUAGAGGGGGGUAGAAUUCCAGGUGUAGCGGUGAAAUGCGUAGAGAUCUGGAGGAAUACCGGUGGCGAAGGCGGCCCCCUGGACAAAGACUGACGCUCAGGUGCGAAAGCGUGGGGAGCAAACAGGAUUAGAUACCCCUGUAGUCCCA
rnacentral:rRNA from 1 species